UGAUAGUCAAUGACUAUGAAAUAUAACAUGAAAGUUGAAAGGGUUGAAAGCACGAGCAACGAACAGUGAGAAUAGAAAACAGAAAGGAACGAGAGCCAUAAUAUUUACGAAUUUUGUGAGAAUAAAUAAUUUAUGAUUGUGGAAAGAAAGAUAUUGCGAUCAUGUCUAUGCGACCUGAUGAUCACCGGAGGAAAUGGAACCGGGAAGAAUAUGAAAGGAUUGCGCUUCAAAGACUCCAAGAAGAGAUCGCGGAGGAAGAAUUAGGACUUCCCAAACAACCAGCAGUUAAAAGAGAAUUGCUAAAACAGAGAGAUUACAAAGUUGACCUUGAAUCAAAACUAGGAAAAAGUGUCGUCAUCAAUAAAAAUACACCAUCGUCACAAACUGGAGGAUACUAUUGUAAUGUCUGCGAUUGUGUUGUCAAAGAUUCCAUUAAUUUCUUGGAUCAUAUCAAUGGUACAAAACAUCAACGGAAUCUGGGUAUGUCCAUGAAGAUAGAGCGAUCCACAUUGGAACAGGUUAAAGCUAGAUUUGCACAAAAUAAAAAGAAGCUUGAAGAGAAAAAGAAAGAUUAUGAUUUGGAACAGAGAGUGAAGGAAUUAAAAGAAGAGGAAGAAAAAAUCAAAGAAUACAGGAAAGAGAAGCGAAAAGACAAAAAAAGGAAAAUUGAAGAGCUGGCAGAGGAUGAUGCUGGACCUUCUGAUGAAAUGGCCGCAAUUAUGGGAUUCUCUGGUUUUGGUUCAAAAAAGAAAUGAUAAACUCUCCGCCUAAACAGUUUACUACUUUUGAGAAAGAGGUUGUUGGUUUUUUGAGAAAGAAUGUUGCUGAGUUUCGUGUUUAUUCGAGACGAGAGAAACAGCUAUCAAUUAUAAAUCCGACCAAUGUAAAUGUAACAAAUCAAAUGAGCUUAAACUGUAAUUUAAGAUUAAUUAAAAUUAAUUAAGAUUAUUUGGGCACAAAUUUAUGAUGUGAAUAAUUUAAGUACAUUCUCGAAAUGACUAUAUCUCUGCUGAACUAUAUCUCUUUUAUUGCAAGAAUACAAAAUCUUGUGCAUCAUUGUCCAAAGGAGAAUGUGUAUGUCAUCUUGUAGAAAUAAAAUUUAUGAAAAGUUAAGUAAAAUAGACAGAAAUAGUAUUUGAAACAAUACAAUUCUUUUCAAGUAUCGGUAUUUGUGCGAUAUUUAAUAUAUUUUCAAUAAUUGGCAAAUUUGUAAUCUUCAUAAUAAAUAGUUUUAGCUAAUUUCAAUUUUUAGAUUCUUUUUUAGUCAAAAAUUGAUUAUUGGCUUAUGAACAAUAGUUGAAAAACUCCAAUUUCAUAUGGAGAAUAUACUUUACAAUUAUCGAGAAUGUAAUAUUAUUGUAUACAGUAUUUGAAGAUUUGUAUUAGCCUGAAUCUCGUCAUUUAAAAAAAUUUUUUUA
rnacentral:misc_RNA from 1 species